rnacentral:rRNA from 1 species
GAUGAACGCUGGCGGCGUGCCUAAUACAUGCAAGUCGAGCGAACAGACGAGGAGCUUUCUCCUCUGACGGUAGCGGCGGACGGGUGAGUAACACGUGGAUAACCUACCUCUAAGACUGGGAUGACUUCGGGAAACCGGAGCUAAUAACGGAUAAUAUAUUGAACUGGAUGGUUCAAUAGUUAAAGUAGGUUUUGCUGUCACUUAUAGAUGGAUACGGGCCGCAUUACUUAGUUGGUACGGUGACGGCUUACCAAGGCAACGAUGCGUAGACGACCUGAGAGGGUGAUCCGCCACCCUGGAACUGAGACACGGUCCAGACUCCUACGGGAGGCAGCAGUCGGGAAUCUUCCGCAAUGGGCGAAAGCCUGACGGAGCAACACCGCGUGAGUGAUGAAGGUCUUCGGAUCGUAAAACUCUGUUAUUAGGGAAGAACAAAUGUGUAAGUACCUAUGCACGUAAUGACGGUACCUAAAGAGAAAGCCACGGCUAACUACGUG